rnacentral:rRNA from 1 species
AGAGUUUGAUCAUGGCUCAGAUUGAACGCUGGCGGCAUGCUUAAUACAUGCAAGUCGAACGGUAACAGAUUCUUCGGAAUGCUGACGAGUGGCGGACGGGUGAGUAAUACAUAGGAAUCUGCCCAUGUAGUGGGGGACAACUUGGGGAAACUCAAGCUAAUACCGCAUAAUUCCUACGGGAUAAAGAGGGCCACUGCUUGCAAGCUCUUGCUACUGGAUGAGCCUAUGUCGGAUUAGUUAGUUGGUAAGGUAAUGGCUUACCAAGACAGCGAUCCGUAGCUGGUUUGAGAGGAUGAUCAGCCACACUGGGACUGAGACACGGCCCAGACUCCUACGGGAGGCAGCAGUAGGGAGUAUUGGACAAUGGGCGCAAGCCUGAUCCAGCAAUGCCGCGUGUGUGAAGAAGGCCUGCGGGUUGUAAAGCACUUUCAAUUGGGAAGAAAGAUUAUGAGUUAAUACCUCAUAAUAUUGACG